CAGCAACGUAAACCCAGCGGCCUCCUCCCACUCCCAAUCCCUCUCCCCCUAUUAAUAAGAAAAAAGGACUGGGUUGCGUGUGGGACCGUAGUAGUAUAACGGCAAGGUUGAGCUUAGAGACUUAGAGUGAAGAGGUAGACGAAAACUGUGUUGGCAUGGCCCCUCGAAUCCUACUAUGUGGCGACAUUUUGGGGCGCCUCAACCAGCUCUUCAAGCGCGUCUCAUCGGUCAACAAAUCUGCAGGUCCAUUCGACGCGCUCUUGUGCGUCGACCAGUUCUUCCCUAACUCGCCCGAGCAUUUGGAGGAGUUCACGGCCUUCAUCCACGGUGGCUCCGUCGUUCCCCUCCCGACUUACUUCAUCGGCGACUACGGCGUCACCGCCCCUAAGAUCCUCUUGCAAGCUUCUAAGGACUCUGCCAACCGCAGCUUCAAGAUGGACGGUUUGAAGAUUUGCAAUAAUUUGUAUUGGUUGAAAGGCAGUGGCAAAUUCUCCCUAUUCGGAAGUCUUCCAGUGUUCAACAGUUUGGGACUUACACUGAAGAUGAUGUUGAUGCUUUGCGAGCAAUUGUUGAGGAACCUGGAAUUGUUGAUUUAUUCUUGACAUAUGCUUUAAUUGAUGUGCAUUACUCAUGUAAUGAUACGAUUAGUUAGUUAGGACCAGGAUAAACUCCUUCAGAAGCACUUCUAAAAGAAAAAAUAAAUAGGAAGAAAAAUCAAAAUUAGCUUUUCCAUAAGUUAAAAAUAAAAUUUAGAGAAAAGGAAAGAGUUUCUAUAAAUUAGCUUAUGGAGAAGUUUAUUUCUUUUUCUUUUUCUUCAUAAUUUUCUCUCUUAGAACUGCUUUUGGAUAAAUUUAUCCAAAUAGGUUCUUAGUUAGUUACUUCUCAUCUCACGUUGUAUAUAAGCUAAGUAGAUGGCUAGAUGUAAUGUGUUUCUGUUUGUUCACUUCCUUGAUUUGUUAUUACUAACGAAUGGCCAAGUGGGGUGACCAAUAGAGCAGCUGCUUCGGACGUUCCUGCUGGACUCUCUGAGGCUGUCAGCAGUGAUUCAACUAUAUUAGAGUUAGUGCAAGAGAUCAAACCACGGGGUAGUUAUCACAUUGCAGGCACUAAAGGAAUAUACUAUGCUCGUGAACCAUAUUCCAAUGUAGAUGUUGUGCAUGUCACUCGUUUCAUAGGGCUUGCAUCUGUUGGAAAUAGAGAUAAGCAGGCGUGGUAAAGCUGAAAAAGAUGCCAUUGAUGCUAUGACCUUUUAUACCAAAUACAUAUUGCUCAUUUAGCAUUUAAUCCAUUAUAUCACCUUGUUUCCAGGCUGGACAAAGCCAAUAUGCAUUGGAAGACAUGCUUUUGGAGACCAAUAUCGGGCAACAGAUACAGUUAUAAAAGGCCCAGGAAAGCUAAAAUUGGUGUUUGGGCAAAGUUGGAUGGAAAUGCUAGAUUGUUGGACUUCACAGAGAAACUGGAAGCAGCUUGCAUCAGAACAGUUGAACUGGGAAAGAUGACAAAGGAUCUUGAGCUCCUUGUUCAUGGACCUAAGGUUUCUAGAUCCCAGUAUUUGAAUACUGAAGAGUUCAUAGAUGCUGUAGCCGAGGAGCUGCAAACAAGAUUAUCUUCACAGUCAAAGCUGUAAAGUUGAUGAAUGUGCCCAAUAAAUGUUCUCCAGUUCCUUCUAUUUAAUUUUUCUUUUAUAAUGGAGGGGAAUUCUAUUGCUUCUCAGUUAAACCUUUUAGAGUAUAUUACCUCCAAGAUCAAUAAAAUUCUAAUGCAUCACUAAUAUAAUGUAAUUGAGUGACAAUAUUGAAGGGGGAGAAACAUAUUUCAGUUUAUGCCUUUUUUUAAUGCCAUUUCAUGUAUUUUUAUUUGUUCACAUAUUGCCACUAGUGCCUAAGUUGGUUGUUCUGAACCUACUUUUUGUAUUAAAAAAGAUCAUUUAUAAAUGUUCUUAUGUUCAAUAUGA